UACGUAGGGUGCGAGCGUUGCCCGGAUUUAUUGGGCGUAAAGGGCGCGCAGGCGGUACGGCACGUCCGUUGUGAAAUCGCUCGGCUCAACUGGGCGGGGUCAGCGGAUACGGCCGCACUUGAGCAAGCUAGGGGGCAAUGGAAUUCCCGGGUGUAGUGGUGGAAUGCGUAGAUAUCGGGGAGGAACACCAGUGGCGAAGGCGGCUCACUGGACAGGUACUGACACUCAACUACGAAAAGCGUGGGGAGCAAACAGGG
rnacentral:rRNA from 1 species